GGAGUCCUCACAUUGUCCCUGAGUUCAGCUCACACUUCCAGCAGCUCUGGUAUUGCAAACACAUCUCAUUCAGUAUGAACUUUUUCUUUACUCUGUGAUGUGACCUGGCUGGUUCCCUGUUACUCAAGGUCAAAACCAAUUCUCAUCUCUCAUAUUCCCUAUGUUGGAAAAUUGUCUGUUUCUGUAUCAGAGUAUGCUUGAAUUUAUGUCUUCUGUUCCAUGAGUACCUCCCUUCCUCUGGUCCUGAGUCUCUCCUCUUGGCCUCUCUCUCCUUGGAUCCUGGAUCUUCACCCACAUCUUCUUUCCUCGGUCUGGUUCUUGGUGUCUGUUCUCACCUUUCCUCCUCUGGUUCUGUUUCCAUCCUCAAAAUUUCUCAGACCCCAGUCACCAUCAUCACCUUCUCCCUUGAUGGUCCCGGUCAACAUCAUCACCUUCUCCCCUGAUGGUCCCGGGUCAACAUCAUCACCUUCUCUCUCUUAGUUCUAGGUCUUCACCCUUUGCCCCUCUCCCUCUGGCUCUAGGUCCUCAUUUGCACCUCCCUCUCUCUGAUUUUGGGUCCUCUUCCUCAUAUUUUCCUCUCUGGUCCUGAGUGUCCAUUUUCACUUGUUCAUAUCCAACCGCCCACUCCAAGAACUUAAUGUCGCCCUCUGCUCUUCUUUCUCAGAGGAAAUGGAAGAUCAGCCAGAUCCAGGGAGAUAAUCAGGGUCCAGAGGAUCUUCAGUUCCGGAAGGUGACCAAGUGCUGAGGUUGUCAUUUAGCCUCUGCCUUGGGUUGACACCACUGUGCCUUCAACAGGACACUACUCCCAUAAGUGGAUUCACAGGGCGACGCAGGGUUCCACGUUCUGGCUCUGUUUGGAUGGAAGUCUGUUGGAAGAGGCAGACUCCUCGCUCUGCAGAUUGGAUAACCAAGAAAUGUUGAAGAACGGAGUUUGGAAAGCCACCUCUUCUUCUCGUCACCUUCACCAUAUGUGGGUGACACGUUCGAGGCUGCUUGGACCAGGAUUCCCCCUCUCCCCUUGGUCAUAGCCCUAAAACCUCUGGGUAGGCGCAAUUGUCACAGAUGUCAUAUUUCUCUGGAAACGCAGAGACACUGGCGUUUGGCCUUCCUUACAGAUGAGAGUGAAGGUGAGCAGAGAGUCUUGGAAUCUACUUGGAACAUGCUGACUCCGGGAGGAGCAAGCUUUCGGAUGGUCUUCCCAUACCAGAGCACAGACUGGCAAUAUUGAGUCACCACAGCAAACAUGCCUGAAGUGAUGUUUAAGUCAUCGGAGUUAAGUAAGCAAGCUUUAUGAAGACAGUUUGAAUCAUGCUUCUUUUCUGGUAUCUUGUCAUCAAAAUAACCCCAAGUCAUUUACCUCUUUUCCAACA